rnacentral:rRNA from 1 species
GAUGAACGCUGGCGGCGUGCCUAAUACAUGCAAGUCGAGCGAACAGACGAGGAGCUUGCUCCUCUGACGUUAGCGGCGGACGGGUGAGUAACACGUGGAUAACCUACCUAUAAGACUGGGAUAACUUCGGGAAACCGGAGCUAAUACCGGAUAAUAUAUUGAACCGCAUGGUUCAAUAGUGAAAGACGGUUUUGCUGUCACUUAUAGAUGGAUCCGCGCCGCAUUAGCUAGUUGGUAAGGUAACGGCUUACCAAGGCGACGAUGCGUAGCCGACCUGAGAGGGUGAUCGGCCACACGGGAACUGAGACACGGUCCAGACUCCUACGGGAGGCAGCAGUAGGGAAUCUGCCGCAAUGGGCGAAAGCCUGACGGAGCAACGCCGCGUGAGUGAUGAAGGUCUUCGGAUCGUAAAACUCUGUUAUUAGGGAAGAACAAAUGUGUAAGUAACUAUGCACGUCUUGACGGUACCUAAUCAGAAAGCCACGGCGAACUACGU